UACAGAGGGUGCAAGCGUUGUUCGGAAUUAUUGGGCGUAAAGCGCGUGUAGGCGGCUUUGCAAGUCGGGUGUGAAAGCCCUCAGCUCAACUGAGGAAGUGCGCCCGAAACUGCAGAGCUUGAGUGCCGGAGAGGGUGGCGGAAUUCCCGGUGUAGAGGUGAAAUUCGUAGAUAUCGGGAGGAACACCGGUGGCGAAGGCGGCGACCUGGGUUGACACUGACGCUGAGGCGCGAAAGCGUGGGGAGCAAACAGG
rnacentral:rRNA from 1 species